rnacentral:rRNA from 1 species
UUCGAGUGGCGGACGGGUGAGUAACGCGUGGGUAACCUGCCUUACACAGGGGGAUAACACCUGGAAACAGGUGCUAAUACCGCAUAAGCGCACAGGGCCGCAUGGCCCGGUGUGAGAAACUCCGGUGGUGUAAGAUGGACCCGCGUCUGAUUAGCUUGUUGGCGGGGUAGGGGCCCACCAAGGCGACGAUCAGUAGCCGGCCUGAGAGGGUGGACGGCCACAUUGGGACUGAGACACGGCCCAAACUCCUACGGAAGGCAGCAG